GCCGGAGGGGCCGGGCGGCGAGCGGGGGCUCCUCGGAGGGUGCGGGCGGCGUCCGCCGGGGCCGCCCUCGGGCCAUGAUCGACUCGGUGAAGCUGCGCCGCGACAGCGCGGCGGAUUUCUUCUCGCACUACGAGUACCUGUGCGCGCUGCAGGACUCGGUGCCGCUGCCCGCCGUGCGCGCUUGCCUGCGGGAGGGCGUGCUGGACUUCCACGCUGACCGCCUCCGCGUGGUGGACUGGGCGCCCCUCCUGAGCACCCUCAAGAUUAAUAAAGACCUGCCCCUCAUCUCCAUCAAGAGCUCCUUCCAGCCGUGGCUCGGGGAAGCAGGUUGUGACGUAGGUAAGGUUUGCAGAAAUCGGGUUCCUGCGAUACGAUCCAAAGAUGUGACCUUCCAGUUGUGUAAAGCUCUUAAAGGCUGUUUAAGUGCAUCCACUGUGCUAAGGAAUCUGGAGUUAAAUGGACUACUUCUGAGAGAGAGAGAUUUAACUGUUUUAACAAAGGGCUUGAAUAAAUCGACGACUUUGGUGCACCUGUCUCUUGCAAAUUGUCCAAUUGGAGAUGGAGGUUUAGAAAUUAUUUGUCAAGGCAUAAAGAACUCUGUCACUCUUAAGACAGUCAACUUCACGGGAUGUAAUCUGACAUGGCAGGGAGCAGAUCACAUGGCCAAGAUCUUAAAGUAUCAGACUAUGAGAAGGCAUGAAGAAACCUGGGCUGAGAGUCUUCGCUACAGGAGACCUGAUCUGGACUGUAUGGCUGGCCUAAGGCGGAUCACAUUGAAUUGUAACACGCUGGUUGGUGACCUGGGCGCGAGUGCUUUUGCAGACUCUCUCAGUGAGGAUUUAUGGCUUAGAGCACUUGACCUGCAACAGUGUGGCCUCACCAAUGAAGGAGCAAACGCUUUACUAAAGGCUCUUGAAACCAACAGGACUCUGGUGGUGCUGGAUAUAAGAAAAAAUCCACUCAUUGAUCAUUCUAUGAUGAAGGCAGUUAUCAAAAAAGUUCUCCAGAAUGGAAGGAGUGCUAAAUCAGAGUACCAGUGGAUAACUUCUCCAUCAGUGAAGGAACCACCCAGAACUGCUAGGCAGAAAAAAAAAACUAUAAUUCUAGGAAGUGGUCGAAAAGGAAAAGCUACUAUUAGAAUUGGAUUGGCUACAAAGAAACCUGUAAGUGGCGGAAGAAAACACACUCUUGGUAAAGAAUAUUAUGCUCCCGAACCUCUGCCGCCCGGUGUGUCUGGUUUCUUGCCAUGGCGUACUGCAGAACGUGCAAAAAGGAGCAGGGGCUUUCCAUUAAUCAAAACUCGUGAUAUAUGUAAUCAGUUGCAGCGAUCAGAUUUUCCUGUGACUGUGACAGUAGAGAGUCCUUCAUCCUCAGAAAUCGAAGAGGCUGAUGAUUCUUCAGAAAGUGUUCAUGAAGUGCCUGAGAAAACCAGUUUUAAACAAGAAGCAUUACAGGAAAAACUGGAGCAAUGCUUAAAGCAGUUGAAGGAGGAAAGAGUAAUUAGGCUGAAGGCCGAUAAACGAGUCAGCGAGCUGGAACAUGAAAAUGCGCAGUUAAGAAACAUUAAUUUCUCUCUGUCUGAAGCCCUCCAAGCACAGUCAGCGACAAGCAUGAUCCUGGAUGAUGAAGGUGUUUUGGGCAGCAUUGAGAAUUCUUUUCAGAAGUUCCAUGCUUUCUUGGAUCUCCUUAAAGAUGCUGGGCUUGGGCAGCUUGCCACAAUGGCUGGUAUUGAUCAGUCAGAUUUCCAUUUAUUAGGUCGUCCCCAGAUGAAUUCUACUGUCAGUAGUCCACCUAAUGAAGAAAAGAAGGCGCUUGAAGAGGGAAAAUCAGAGCCAAAGCAAAAUACUCUAGAGCAAAUGCAAAAUAUCCAAGUUUCUAUUUGUAUGCAGUCAGCUUACAGUGAAGGAACACUAAUGAAGGUACAGUUUCAGAAAAUUACAGGUGAUGCUAGAAUUCCUUUGCCUCUCGACUCCUUCCCCAUGCCAGUCUCUACUCAGGAGGCUGAAAUAAUUUCCAAAGACAACCUGGGAGGCCCAGCCACUGAGCCAGGACAGGAGUCCUUUGAAGGAUUCAUUGCCAAACCAUGUUCUCCUUCAGCAGAUGUAAUUUCCGGGACCGGAAGUCAAAAAAAAGAGGAGUUGUCCAGAAAUAGCAGAUCAUCCUCAGAGAAAAUAACCAAAACAGAAUGCCAUUGAAAUGACUGGAGAAAUAUUAAACUAAAAAUAAUUUAAUAGCAGAGUGGAGAACCAAAAAAUGAACAGUGUGGAAUUUCUAGAAGAUAAAAAACAGUAUUGAAGGACCAAUUAAUUAAAGAGUGGAGCAGUUAAGCCAUUCCACUCAUCUUUGCCACUGGGCUAAGAAAAUGAUCAUCUGAAAUGGGAGUUCUGACACACAAAAUGCUGGGCGUGGUGAAUGAGGGCAUUAUCCAAACAGCCACAAGGAGGAACUGAAGUUAAGGAACCCAUACUCCCUUUCUGGCUGUCAUGACCAGCCACUCCCCUUUAUAAUCGCUGGAGAUGCCUCUAACCAGACUCGUGUUCACUGAAAGUCAACCAGAAUUCUCAUUUGGCUGAGGAAAAGCACUUCAGACGUUAAACUUAUGACAUCUUCUAUAGAUAUGGACAGCCAAGAAUCAGAUUUGAAGAAAACCAGUAAUGUAAAACGCACAAAAUGAAAAGCUGUUCAAGAAAAUAGUAGAAACAGAAGACAUUUUAAAAUUAAUACAAUUAAGAUCUUCAGUGCAUAAAGAUAUUGUAUCCACAAUGCAUAGGAUGUUGGGAAAAAAUAUUUAGAGUUUCUGGACAUUAAAAUUUUGACCAUGAAAAUGAAGCACUCAGAAGAUGGACUGGAGGAGAAGAUCUUGAGAGAAUGGAUUCAGUUGCAGCUUAAAUUCAUGAGAUGGAAAUGUGAGGGAUCUCAAUAUGCUCUACGAAGGGACAAAAUAUAAUACUAGUGACAGUAAGAAUCCUAGGAGUACAUAGUAAUUGGCAUAUGGUGACUGUAUGGAUGAUAGCGGUGUGUCCAUUGGACGGAAUAUUAUUGGAUGAUAAGGAAUACAUUCAUACGCGCAACAACUUGGCUGAAUCUCUAGAAUCAUCUGCUGCAGGAAAGAAACUAGUCUCGGUCCUGCACUCACUGCUCACCUGAAGCUGGAUCCCACAUGGUGACUGAAAUCCCCAGACCAAUCAACCUGAAAUGUGCUGGCACAAGCAUAAGUGCCCAGGCUGCCAGAGGCUGGAGGACUGCUAGUCCAAAACACCAGGAGUCUGGGUAUCAUCACAGAAGCCAUCCUUCAACAGGAAGUGGAUAAAGAGAGGCACAGGGCACAGCGUGUGAGAUGGCAUGUGGGGCUGCCGUGCCCUCCCUGGGUGCAUCCUCCACCGGGAACCUCCACAGAACAGGUUCCGCUCUCAGGAGCCUCUCCGACUCCCGUCCCUUGGUGUUUGUGGAGACUUCACUGCACAGAUAUAAGUGCGAAUAGACUAGGAGGAAAAGCCAGCGAGGCCUGGCUAUUCAAGUUCUUUGUCUCGGUGGGGCCUUCUCCACACACCAUGAAAAGCACCUUCAUCUCUUCAGAGACUUCAGAGUUCCAUGUGGAAGAGGCAAGGCGUUGGCCAGAGCUGGGAACGUCUUACACGGAAAAGGGCAGAGAUGCUUCCUUAGAGGUGGAUUUACAUGUUUAAAAAUUAUUUUUAUUGCAAUUUCUCAUUUUCAUACUAUAGUUGUACAUCUUGUGGGGUACAGUGUGUUUUUCCAAGCACGUAUACAGGACUGGCCCUGUAUCCUGAUGGUUAUAAGAGCCAGACCCUACAUUGCUGACUGUGGUUUG